GUUAUUUUAGAAGGUUAAAAAUGCUAUUAGUUUACUGUACAGUGCAACCAUAGGCAGUCACACACAUCAAAACAUGGUUCCUGCCGACUGGGUCUGUAUAGUUAUCAGAUUUUCUGUGCGAUGGCUCCAUACAUG